AUGCACUCGUGGUGUGGCUAUGAAGACACACGUCAGCAACAGACUCACACGUGUUCACACGUCCACUCAUACAAGAUUUUACUGUACAUCCAUCUCCGCUAUAAAAAGGCUUCUUUCCCCCUCAGCAACUCUCACCGUGGCAACGUCCAGAUGGAGCCCAAUAAGUAUGCCAAGCCUCUGUCCCCAAAGCCACUCUCUCCACCAGAACCAUUCGUGCCCGACUACCUCGACUACCCCGAUAGCUCACCUAUCUCUCCCUCCUUUCCAGCCAAAAGGAAGCCCUCACCACUGAUCCACCAACUUGAAUCAUCCGACGAUGAGGAAGCCAACCCACAGACCAAGCUCAAUGAAGCCUAUGAAGACAAAGCCUUUCAGCAGGAAAAAGACGAUGACCUCUCUUGGCUAGAAGAAAUAGAUCAGUUGAGAGGCCAAAGUUACCCACCAGCAAGAAGGUUCAAGGCAGGAGAGCUUCAACCACGUAUGAAGAAAAGCAAGACCAUCAACAAGGUGGCAAAGAAAGGUACAAGUGCUGAAGAAGCAAUCGAGAUCUCAUCUUCCGACGACGACUACACCGACGGAAAGGAGUGA
rnacentral:rRNA from 1 species